GUGGAAGGGUGGAGACGGAGCGCUAAAUUUUGACAGCCCGGUGUUGUGAUUCGAUUCGGGUUAAGGAAUAUCAACGAAAAGUAAUGAUGAGACAAGUGUGCGUUGGUAGUGGUUAAAAGUUUGACGUCAUUUAUAAUCUAUAGUGGACCAUCCAUUGACAUCAGUCAACUCUAGUUCAGGAAAAGCGUGCGAAAAUUAAGUUAUUUGGCCAGAAAAACCGUAAAAUGGCCAUAAAAGUAUUGAAAACCUAGUGUACCGAGGUCGAAAGCAUCGCUAACGAUGGAGGUCGUAGUAGAUUCCGGAACAUUCCGGAAGAAGACACCGCCACCACAGCAGCAGCCACCAUUCUCAUCAAAACCACAAGAAGCGAACGCAGUUUGAUUAGCAGCAGCAGCGGCCAGUUCAGUAUACCAGUCACAAGGAAACAGUUUUUUUUUUCUCCCACGACGGAAGCGCACCAGGCGCGGAACUGAUUCGGCCAGUUUAUUUCGAUGACUCAUGACCGGAAUUCAACUAGCAUCGAAAAUCACAUGCGGGACGGAAUCAGGAAAUCUACACGCAGCACUCGAGGUUUAGCCUUUGAUUACAAAGGAUCCCGGGUCAUGAGCAUGUAAGAAACAGAAAUAGGAUCGGAAAAAGUGAUCUAAGCAAUAGGUUUCAUUGCUCGGGGCAUGAGUUUUUAAACAGAUCAGUUCAGGAUUAUUAGGAGAAACAUCUCUAUCUCCAGAUGCUGACACAACGUUUGAGUUAGCUUUUUUCAAAUUUUCUAUUUGUUGUUGAAGUUUUUGAUUUUGCAUUUUGGACAAAGCAAGUUCCCGCUUAAGGGAUUCUUCGGCGUUUUCAUUUUGCUCCGGCUGGACAUCUAAACUUCGCGUUUCGUUUGUGAGCUCUGAAAUGCGCUGCUCCUGCUCAGUCUGUGGUUCGCAUUCCACUGCAUUAAAUAAGGCUGCAAGGGUCAUGUCUUUACAGCCUGUUCCGGAUGAUCCUGCAUUUGAGGAAGAACAAGGAAAUUGUUACAUACACUAGAAUAUGAAUAAAAUUUAGGUUUUAUACAAAAUAAUUACACCAUGCAACACUAAAAUUCCAAAUAAUACUUUUCGCUAGUAUUUUCAGUUGGUCAGAUGAGGGUCAGAUCUGACACCUUUGUUCACAAUGUGCAACUAGCAUUAAAAAUUCAUUUAAAAUUCUCUAAAACACUGUUUUCUUUUUCUUAUGAAAAAAAAACAACGAACCUUCUCCCGGGUCAUUAUUAUGAAUACGAACACGA